GGGGCCACAGGCGUGCAUGUUAUCCUCAUAGUUUCUCAAGAUUACAUUUGCUUUAUCUUUAGGCCUGCACUGGAUCCUGGAAGACAGAAAGAGGGCCAGUCUUUCCCAAGAGAGAGGAUCUUCCUACAGCCCGACAGAAGGUGGAGUUUAUGAGCGACCCAGUCUCUCUCUACCACCAGCCAGUCCUUCCUAAGACCUCAAGCCUUCCCAUCACCUUCCCUGACUAUCUGUUUUCUUUACUUUUCACUGCAGCUCUCUGGAGAGCCAUAGCUGGGUACACAAGAACGAACAGUACCCUCCCUUGUGCCUGUUCAGGAUGGAUUACCCACGCACUGCAAGAAUGAAUUAUUUUUUUUAAUAGUGCGCUUGAAGUGAUGAUGUUGAAGUUAUCCACAGAAAACUGAUAUAAAUUUGAACAAACCUACAAAUUCACUAUACCCGUAAACUUCUUCUUAUCAGCAGUAAGCCCAGGAGAGUAUGUGAUCGUGGGAGGAAGUUAAUGGCGAUGAGCAAAGUGCCCGCAGUUUCUGACCAUUACACCCCUGCCUGUUUUCUGUGUGGUUGUUUUCUGUGCUGUCCACAACACACAGGUGGUGUGUGAGUCAGCCAGCGAAUGCACACCAGGAACGCCAGCAGGAACUGCUGACAUGCAGCUGAUGGGCUGAUGUGCUCCUGUCCUUCCUGAGGGUGAGGUAGCUCGUUCCAGUAGGAUUUGGCAGCAAGACCUAAGAUUUGCAUCCUAUCAUCACCUUUUUUCCUUCCCUUCUGUUUGUAUUUAUAGCCCAGUUAGUAAGUCAUGCUAAGAAAUGAAUCGCUGAAUUUACCAGACUUUAAAUAAGCAAAAUCUGCCUUUUUGAGGGAAAAAAGAACUGGACAUCUAAGACACAAUCAAACAACAAAGCUCCUAAUAUAACAAAUAAAGGCUUGUAGCAUCAGUAAUGGAGCUGGUUUAGCAUCAACUGUCUUGAUGAGUCUCUCUGUGAUCAGGCUGUUUUCAUCACAAAUCUUUUCAAGCUGGUUCACCAUUGUAAGGGUAAUGAUGCUGCUACUACAGAAAUGAUACAACCGUAACAUUUGACCUAUACUAUAAUGUGAAAUACCUGACCAUAUUAUAGGUUAAAAUAGAUAUGUAAAUUUAACAGUGUAAGAAAUAAAAGGCCAUAGCUGAGACAAGAUUUUUUUGUUAGAGGACUGGGAGGGGUUCAAGCCAUUUUUCUCCAGGGUAAGAUCUCUCUUACUUGACACUUUCCACAAAGCUGAAGAAGUUUGAAUAUAGAACAGAGAGCAAGCAGUCAGUAGGUGUUGUGUGUUAAGAGUAUUGGAUAUCAGUAACACCAGAGAUUUAAUUCGCUGUUUACGUUCUGCUGUGCAAACUUCAAGGAGCCCCAUAACAGCUGACCAGUUUUAUGUGACUCAUCAGACAGCCAAACCAAAGAAAGAAAUGCGAGUUUAUCUAGCCUUGUCUUUUAAACAGCUGCCUGCCCUAAUUGGCAAUACUUAGGCAAUUUUUGAACUUUUCUUGAGGUUAACAAAUGUUUCUUGUUAAAAAAUCACAUCCCAGAUCAGCAAAAAUAUAGAAUACAACUAAGCCCUCGCUGCAUUCUUGCAGUUUUCAGAGUGCAAAUGAAAAUCUGUGACAGAUACAAGUGCACCGUUUUGUUAAACCAGUCUAAGGCCAGCAAAGCUUAUACCAGCCUCUGUGGCUAAUGGUGCGUGAAAGUGACUGUUUUGAAAAUAACCGUGUUCAUUUAAAAUAUUACUGCCUUUCUCCCAGAGGAUACCACCCACACAACCAAGUCAGCAGACUGAAAACACAGAUAAUUCUAAGCUGCUUCAGGAUAAAAUCCAGUGUUUUAAAGCAUAAAAUGCAAAGGGAACUGGGAGCAGCUUGAGAUAAGCUCUUGGACUUUACACUGAAACAGCUCAGAGAUGCUUGUGUCUCAUUCUGCCACCACAGCUGGGGCAGGCGUCUUUGGCAGGUACAAAGAGCUGGGGGCCGUGGCGUCUCAAACAGCCACAGCUGCCUUCUCAGUGCAUGCAUCUGAGCACUAAGCACAGCUUCUACCUUGCCCUUUUGGGUCCAGGUUCACAGCACUGGGGCAAACAGUGAGGUCCUAACCACCAAGUCAAAUAGUGAAUACACAGGUGACUGGGAAAGGGAGAUGAAAAAGGUUCUGAGGAAUAAACAUGCCGUGUGAGGAAUUUCAGAUUUAAUUCCAAAUUUUGUACAUGAUGUAACUAAAACUGAGGGGCACAUUAAGCUCAUAUUUUCUGACUCAGUCUGCACUGGACAAGGAAAUUUUGACCACACUAUGAUUAAGUCUUAAGUGGUGGGAGUGAUAUGUCUAUAGGGAGAAGGCUUUGCUUUUCUGAAUCCACUUAUCCUGCGUUUCCUUUCCCUUGAUAAGAAAUGUGUAAGACGUAAUGGCAUCAUUGAUCCAUUAGUGGUUAAAUAAGACAACAUGCUUCAGUGACUUAAGCCAUUUCUCUUCCUAAGGUUUUUAAAAUUCUUCUGCUCUAUGGUAAUAUUGAUAUUGUGAUCUGACCAAAGAAGCCCUUAUCACACUUUCUUUUUAAACAUACAAUCUACUUUCAUAGUAUUCUGUACCUUGAUAAGUACUUCAUAAUAUCAAGCUCUUUGUAAACCAGACUGGAAUGUUAUUUUAAGCAAGUCCGUGUAUAGUUCCUACACACAGCAACAGCCUACUUUUGUUUCUAAUACUCAUUGUGCUAUUGUUUUAAAAACCUUGGAUGUUGGCUGGAAAUCCAGGCCAGCCUGAGCUUAACAGUGAAACUUUCACCGAGUUCAGUCUGAUCUGGAUUUCAACCUAAAUGCCUAAUGUUGCUAAUGUGGGAUGUGGUAAACUUGAUCAUCAAGUUUUUUAUGGCCACAACAGAUGUUCCUUCUUUUAGACCAAUGGAAAGCUACCAAACCUCGUCCACCCUCUAAAACAAAAAUACAAGCAGUUGUUUACAGCUUGAUUCCAGGAAUAUGAAUUCAAUCAGCAGCUGCAAAGUUUGUUCUUGUUUACUUACAAAUAAAUAUAUGCACAAUUCUUGCUUUUCCCAAAGACCCAUGAUGUUGUCUGGAUUGUAUUACCUCUAUAUAGUAACAGUAUUUUUAAAUUCAUUUACUUCAUUAUAAUUUGUUUAGCACAAACAAAAUAUCAGCAAAAUAUUUUUUACCUUGUUUUUGAAAAAAUGCAUUAAUUUUUUUUUUCUUUCUUAUGUCUAGUAGACCAGAACAACAUGUUUUAGAUAUAUAUUUUGCAUUUUUUAGACUUAUAAUUUAGAUUGACUGUAAUACAACAUUCUCAUAAUCAUAAC